rnacentral:SRP_RNA from 1 species
GCCGGGGGCGGUGGCGUGCCUCUGUAAUCCAGCUACUCCGGAGGCUUGUGCUAGAGGACGGGUUGAGACAGGGAGUCCUGCCCCAUGUUCGCUCAUGUCGAUCGGGUGUCCGCGCUACAAUUUUUUCAAGAAGCUCGGAAUUUGUGGAAU